GAUGAAGAACGUAGCGAAAUGCGAUAGGUAGUGUGAAUUGCAGAUGUAACGUGAAUCAUCGAAUCUUUGAACGCAAAUUGCAUUCCCUGGUAUUCCGGGGAGUAUGCCUGUUUGAGGGUCGCCAAAUACACAUCGAUUAACAUUGCUUUUGAAGUAAAUGUUUAUCGGAUUUGAGCUUUCUUUAUUCUUAAAAUGACAAGGAUAAAGUGGUUUAAAAUUUAUUUUUUUUUGGUAUCAAGCGUAUUUUACAAUCAAUUUUUGAUUAAAAAAGAACGUUUCGAAUGCCAUCCUUUUAAUGUAAUACGUUUGACUAUAUGUAAUAAAUAUGUAGUUCAUUCGCAUACGAUUCAUAAAUUUUUUUUUUUGACCUCAAAUCAGGUAAGAGUACCCGCUGAACUUAAGCAUAUCAAUAAGCGGAGGA
rnacentral:misc_RNA from 1 species